AUAUAUAUAUUCUAUUGAUUUAUAUAAUUUUGCGUUUAUAUUACAUAAUUAUAGAUGCCCAGAUGUAUAUGUUACGUUCGUUAUAUUGCAGGAAGCAUCGGUGGUUCAGUGGUAGAAUGCUCGCCUGCCACGCGGGCGGCCCGGGUUCGAUUCCCGGCCGAUGCAAAUUGUGUUUCUUUUUUAUUUUAUCUUUUUCAUUUCCAUUUGCCUAUCAGACUACAAAUAGAUAAAGAAACGUAUAAUUGUGAUAAGUAAGGCGGUAUUGUACAAAGACUGUAUCUAUGUAUCAUGUGAAUCUGCUGUAAAUACGUUUCAACUAGUCACCUUCUAAUGUAUGUAUAUGCAAAACUUUGACACGCGAGAGUUAUAAAUACUACAUAAACAGGAUUAACGUAGAGGAUACCCGAGACUUUGUUCUAAAAAUGUAUUUUGCGUAUCGAUUGAAAUGCGAACGCACGACGGGUAUAAGAUGGUCGUUAAAGUCUCCAAGACUAGAUACAAUUUAGCUGGAUAUUCAAUUCCUUAUCGUCUACGAUAAGAUUGUUCCCUGAUAUCAAACGCUAGCUAAUAAAUAUUAAAUAAUUGCAAUAAAUUGUUGGAUGGAACAUCAACUUGCUGGUACAUAGAAGUGCAGCAGUAAAAAUUGUUGCUACCUGUGAAUAGACAUCGUGAUAAUUAGUUAUUAUCGGGUAAAUUGUUAAGUAGAUUAUUAGAUUGUUCGUGGAACCGAUUGGGAACUGCUGUCGAACGUCUACGAGGAGCAAUGAAGCUGAUUUUGCAAGAUUAUUUGCUCGUUGCCCUCAUUAUGGAAUAGCUUAGUUAUCGAACAAUUGCGACCGAGAAAACGAGGUGGCACUCAACGUGUUUAAAUCAUUAAUUAUUACAUAAGGGAGGUCUCAUAACGUAUGAGAAAAGAGAGAGAGAGAGAGAGAGAGAGAGAGAGAGAGAGAGAGAGAGCAAGAGAGAGAGAGAGAGAGAGCAAGAGAGAGAAUGUUCGCCUUUCAGUUCAUAAAUAAUGAACACAAUUGUGCUGCGCGGAUUACCAAGCUGUAUAGGUUUGCUGUCGGCAUUGACCGUGAAAGCUUAACGUCCUUGAUAAAGCCGAUAAUUCUGAGUUGGUUGUAGCUGCGUACAAAGUUCAAAGCUUGUAAGCAUUUCGCAUCAUUAAAUCAAAGUACGCGUCAUGGUCGAUGCUUGCGCUGAUCGCGCCGUAAUAAUUCAUGAACUCCUCCUCGGUGACCUGCAAUUAACGUGGAAUUACGUUUCAGAUCAUCAACAUCGGCUCUGCGGUAUGGAACGCUACCUAUACGUAUCGUCGAUAGUGAUCACACCGUCGCCAGUUUUGUCAAGCUUCUUGAACGCUUGAUCAACCACGUUCCUGCGGCUUUGCGACAUCGGCGGCUGUAUAAUAAAACGCUUCGUCAUGAUUACGAUCCGAUACAUCAGGUGCUUCGUCUAUAGAGAUUACAAACAUCCAGUACCCGUAUAGCAACUAUGAACUCGUCCACGCUGAUAUUCCCGUCGCCGUCUGUGUCGAAUUUGUCAAAAAUCUCUUUCACCUCCUCCUCCGAAACUUCCAAACCGGUCUCCUCCAAACCAUUCGUGAACUCCUCAAGGUUUAGCUUCUUGUUGCCGUCAUCAUCCAUGCGACGGAAAACUCUGAAAAUCGACUGUAUCGACAAAAGUGUCUUUUGGGAGUUUUAUGGAAUUAAAACUAUUAUACAAAUGGAUCGAUUGUGCCCACUCACCUACCCAGGCCGAGGAUACCAUUGGCACCUCGAGCCAGGCAGAGCAGACGCAGCUUCUCAAUGGAGUCCGUGGCUGUGUGUAUGGCCCGUUGGGCCUUAUUGAUCAUCUCGGUCUCUUGCCUGGUCGUUGCGCUCUGCGGUCUGUUAAAAAACAUCCCUGCAAGAGAAACCUGUUCUUCGUUGACUCAUGCUGCAACGAUGAUUCAGAUGUCCAGGAAAGAGAUAGUGUGAAACUGAGUGGUGGGAUAAAGCACGAAAAGUGGGAGUUACGGUUUUAAAAUUCGCAGGAAAUGUUUCAUUUUAUUUGACUGCAAGGUGUCGGUAAUCGGACUUCAUUGAAUGCCCGUUACGCGUGUCAAUAAUUAAACACUGAGGAAAUGUUGCGUCUGAACGACGAAAAUAGAUAUUGCCAAAAAUACUACAAAAAGUUCGUUACAAGGGAGUUAGAACCAUGCGCGCCAAUUGCUUGGAGAAGAUUCCUGAUGGAAUGGUGUUCGAAGGAUAAGUACCAGUAAAAGUUCGUGUUUAUUCCGAAGAAGAUUGGAAAGCGAGUGAUGGUAACUGGUUCUUUUAGUACGACUAGUCGCAUUCAAUAGGUCGGCAUACAGUGGAUCACACGUACGUUGAUGGACACCACGCUCACAUAUGAAAACAAGGAGUGCUGUCAUGUACAAUGUCCAUACAAUAGUCUGUAGAACGUAUCCAUAACGACCAAACAGCCACAACACGUGUAUCGGCAAAAAUUUCACGCGUGAUCAAUUCCCAAUACCGAUUUCCUAUUGAUGGACUAUCAUGAGUAUAAGGCGGCCCCUAGUAUACUACUUACUGGAUAACAUUCUAAGGACUUACUCUAGCUGCUCGGAAGAAGGUCUUACUCUGUUAACUAUGCGACCUUUCAUCUCUUUUUCCGCGUACAAUUAUUUAAACAAUUUCAUGGGCACUCAACUUUCUUUGAAUUCAUGAUAACUACCUUACACGAGAUGUUCUAACGCAUUCAACUGUUACAGAUAUUACAGGUGGUAUUGCCCAAGGGUUUCAGUCUAUAGAGUCUAUGUAGAGUAAACCUAUUAGAACUUUAACAUUCUUGGGAUCUUGUCAUAGUACGUAAUGGUAAUAUCCGGUCUUUGUUUUCUAACGGUCAGCUUACUUAACGACUCGUUUCUAUCGCUGAUAGUGAUCAUUGGUCUGUAACAUCGAUCAUACUAUUUUGUUUUUAGCAAAAGGUAGUAUUUAAGAUUGAAAUGAAUGCAUUAGGAUAUAUACGAUAUCAUUUUGUGUUGAAGCAAAUUCGAUUGAAAUCGUGUAAGGAGUUAUUUGCUUCGAAUUAUGUAUAAUUAGUCGUAUAUAGUCUUUAUAAAAUGCCAGUGGAUAAGACCCCUAUUACCAUUCCAGUGUUGAGCACAGCAUUAUCGUUAGUUCACGAAUUUAGGCAUAUUAUCACAAAGCGAAUAUCCUAUAUACUUCAUUUCUACUUCGAGUGCUGAUUAUUAUUUGGAGGUAGUACAUUAGUGUAGAUGUCGCGGCAUUUAAAUAACGGAAAUGGUAUUUAUAAAACAGGUACUGUAGAAAUACGAUACAAAGUGUAAUUAUUUGUAUGGACAGUCGUGCUGUUGUUUAUAAUAAUUAAUACUCGAUCCUCGCUAAGAAACUUAAUUUCGAAGA